UUGCGGGCCUCCCAACCGAAGGCGCCGCCCUCUCCUCCCCCUCUCUCCCCGCACGGCCACCGGCGGCGGCCGGACGCAUUUCGGCGGCGUGGUUUCCGGCGUGGACGUCUGGGAGGAGCGGAGGGAGAAGGAGAUGGAACGGACAAGGCGGACGGGGGAGAUCAGGCGGAGGAAGCUGUGGUGGACCCGAAAUCCCGAAUGCCGAGAGCCCCCUCGAGCGCUUCGCCGGCGAGGUGGUCGAGCACCGGUGAGUUGCCGUAGUGACUAUACUUACAAAUUGCCAUGAUUCCACCUGGUGAUGAUCAGUUGGGCGGCGCGGAAGUCUCAGGCACCUGCAUUGGAUUCUACACAAGCCCCAAAAAUUGGUGCAUGCGAGAAAAAAAAGAAAGCAAACAGAGGAUAGUAAAUAAUUCAAGCAAAUUCACCCAUGAGUUCUUCAUCAAGUAGGAUUUCAG